rnacentral:rRNA from 1 species
CUAAGUUUGAUGGCGACCGGCGCACGGGUGAGUAACACGUAUCCAACCUGCCGAUGACUCGGGGAUAGCCUUUCGAAAGAAAGAUUAAUACCCGAUGGCAUAGUUCUUCCGCAUGGUGGAACUAUUAAAGAAUUUCGGUCAUCGAUGGGGAUGCGUUCCAUUAGGUUGUUGGCGGGGUAACGGCCCACCAAGCCUUCGAUGGAUAGGGGUUCUGAGAGGAAGGUCCCCCACAUGGAACUGAGACACGGUCCAAACUCCUACGGGAGGCAGCAUG